AUUUGACAUCAUAAUAUCUUAAAUAGAAUAAAAAGUUUCCAAGCUCUGGGAGGGCAAGGACCGUGCCUUAAGCCACUGAGUGUGCCUAGCAUGCUGUCUUGUGUACGGGCUCAUGAAAGAUACAAGCUCAAGA